UCUUCCAUAUUAAACAAAAUCAAGUAAAAUGGUCUCACUUAAGCAAGCUUUUCUCUUCAUUGCUCUCUUAUUGCAAUUUCAGUUAAUCUGUGUUGGGGUCCUAAAGUGAUGGCGUUAAGAGACUUAUCAAUUAAUGUUGCAAAGAUGAAGAGAAAAUUACCUCUUUCAUUUGGUAAUGAUAUUACUUGUUAUCGAGAUUGCACUUCAGAUAGCGAUUGCAGUGAUGGAACUUACUGUAGAACUUGUUCUCAACAUUCAGACAUAAUGGGAUAUCUUCCUGACUGGUGGAAUUGUUCCAUGUUUUGAAGUUCAAGAUUGUUCAACAUCUUAACAAGUUCAGUGUUACUGGUGAAGGUUAUUUUGGAACUUAAAUAAUGUUUGUGUAAGAAAAAUAAACAUGUAACCUUAUAAGUUUUUCAGAUACUGAGAAACAAUUCUCUUUAAAAUAGGCUACUGAAGGAAGUUAUUUUGUGACUA